AUGCCUAAAGGGCCAAAGUUCAGCCAGGAGAGCAGGGUCUGGGUUUUUACCGACAUUGCCAGCGCGAUAGGCCCAGCCCAUUCAGAACGCCUCUCCUUACGCGCCAAAUGGGAGGGGUUUCCUCCCUCCUCCUCAACGCAAAUCGAAAGCGCGACGUGGAGUGCCCGAUCUGAUUGUGCCACAGUAAAGGGUUAAAAAACCCUACUGCUCCCCAAACUAUAGUCCCAAUCCAUAUUAGCCGGACCUCGCCCCCGCCGUGGCAAAGUGUGUAGAAAACGCCGUGCGCUUAAACGCACAUCUAAUUGCAUAUGCGUACUUUGGUGAAAACAGGUGGGGACGCAAGCCUUGGAAUUUUAACCGGCUGUUGAGGAAGCAAUUAAGCACCCCCUCCCUCCUCUAUUCACAAUCGCGUCCUUCUUAGGCUCAGUUACUACAUUUGACUUAAGGUACUGUACUUCGCCAAUUGACCGAAAACCGCUGCUCCUCGGAGAGCGAGAGUGCCCUGUGUUGCCCCCUCAACUCGUCUACAAACUUUCCACGAGUUUAGCUAAUUUUCUCCGGAGUGUUUCUGCAUUCUCUUUCACCUUGCUCCCAUUAAACGUGUGGAGAGGAAGCCCCGCGAGUGGAGCUAAAAUUAAUGCAACGCGCCACAUCGACAGGUGUCUGCUGCCGCAGAGACAACGCCGCCAUCGCCCCUCGCGACUUUGGGGCUCGUCCCCGUCGGACUCUUUACCUGCCGGUUGGAGGACGCCACAAAGACAUACCAAGAGGCCAAGGAGGAGGCCCCUGCUGACCGUUAGCCCAUCUCCCCCUUGCAUGCCUCUUGCUUACGAGGCGCAGCCUUGGUUUCAGAAGGAGCAAGUUGGUUCCCUGGGAGCUAUUUCCGCUACAAGGUUUCAUUUUCGCUUCUAACGAUCUUGUCAUCUUGGCUGCGACUAUAGGAGGCAGCGGUGAAACUUAAAAUAACGUUGUUUUGAACUUUCAAGUAAAUAAGGAACUGGGAACUAGGAACCAACUUCAGUGUCUUCAGUUCCUGGUGGACAACUGAACCUCAGGAGUGUGGGGAACCACCAGAAGUGCCCUAUCAAAAGAUUGUAAGGAGGUGCGGAGGGUGGCAACAGGCCUUUUCGUUAGUGACUGUGGAACGCUUUCCCCAGGGAGAUAUACCUGGUACCAUCAUUAUCAACUUUUAGGUGCCAGGCAAAGAUGUUCCUGCUUACCCAGGCAUUCGGUUCUUUUGGGAUCAUAUGGUACUCAGCUGGAGAUGGCAAGGACUGAACCUGAGAAUUUAUCCAUGCAGGUGAUAUGCUCCAUUCACAGGAGCUAUGAUCUGAAAACUGCAGGAGAGCAAUUUUCCCAGGGAAAGAUCAUAAAAAGGACAGAGUGCUGGCACCAAGGCAAGAGUGCAAGACACAACAGAGGAAAGCAGAAACAGAAAAUUGAAGAAGCAUGGGGCCUACAGGCCUCUCUGGCCAUGUGCUGGUUCGAUGAAAAGUCUC